UCCCUGGUGGUCUAGCAGCUAAGGAUCCUGCAUGCUCUCUGCUGCAGCCCAGGUUUGAUUCCUGGCCAGGGAA